UUUCCGUAGGUGAACCUGCGGAAGGAUCAUUAUUGUAUAAGCGAGGUGCGAGGGCUGUCGCUGACCCGAAAGGUCGUGCACGCCCGAGUGCCCUCACGCACAUCCAUCUCACCCCUAUGUGCACCACCGCGUGGGUCCCCCUUUGGCUUGUUCGGAGGGGGGCUUACGUUUUCACACAAACUUUGUAUGCAGUGUAGAAUGUAUUUUUUGUUUUUGCGAUCACGCAAUCAAUACAACUUUCAACAACGGAUCUCUUGGCUCUC
rnacentral:misc_RNA from 1 species